rnacentral:rRNA from 1 species
UACGUAGGGAGCGAGCGUUAUCCGGAUUUAUUGGGUGUAAAGGGUGCGUAGACGGGAAAUUAAGUUAGUUGUGAAAUCCCUCGGCUCAACUGAGGAACUGCAACUAAAACUGGUUUUCUUGAGUACUGGAGAGGAAAGUGGAAUUCCUAGUGUAGCGGUGAAAUGCGUAGAUAUUAGGAGGAACACCAGUGGCGAAGGCGACUUUCUGGACAGAAACUGACGUUGAGGCACGAAAGUGUGGGGAGCAAACAGG